GCCACAUUUAUUGAAUACUAAUUCUCCCUAUGUGUUUAUAGCGCAGCCAACCUGAGUCCUGGGAUGCGCCUGAGGACUGGGAUCAGUCUUCCGUGCGGAUCCUUCCUCAUGAGGUUUGUACAUUGGUAUGAUAGCUGAAAGGAAAUCAAACCGUAAUGAUGCGUACAUUUGUUGUUUCAUUUAAAUGCUAUUCCUAUUAGACAAGGCAAAUGGUCAAUGGCUCAAUUCUGUUUUUUAUUUCUAGGUUUGUGUGCCUCCUCAGGUCCUGAGGGAGUGCUUUGUCGUGCUAAACCCUAUCCGGUUUAGCACUGACAAGUUGGCUGCAAUGGAUCGCAUUGUUCCAUCCAACCUUGACGUCCCCAUGUAUGCUACCAUGGGGAAUCGCUCAAAGGUAAUUUGUGUGAUUUUAAUAUUAACUGUUUGUGAGUGCAUACAUAUUAAUAGCGCCUGUAAUCCUAUAUGACAAGCUUUACAUUGUAUGGUACAGAUAGUUGCAUUGAUAAAAGUGUUAUAUUUCAUUAACUGUUAUCAUUUCCGUUCUCUUCCAUUAUGAUAGAAACGGAAGGUGGCACAUGGAACCACGGCUGUGGUCUCCAAAGGAAAGAAGGCCCGCCUUGAGGCACUUCAAACUCCAGCAAGGAUUGCCAAACCUUCGAAGCUGGUACCUCCCCCUCGACCUGUUCCAGAAGCUGCUGUACCAGCUACUCUGGAGGGCUUACCUCCUCCUCGACCUGUUCCAGAAGCUGCUGUGCCAGCCACUCUGGAGGGCAGCGUCUUUGUGCAUUCGAGCAAGGUAAUUUGCAUACAACAUGUAAUGAUUAAACACAUUCAGUGAAUAGAGUGCGGUUCUCUAUUCUUUUGAUAUUUUCUCUAAGUUCCCUUUAAGAAAGUGUAAUUUUGGGUUUCCAUUUCUCAAUUGUAAUGUACAUAUAAUUCUUACUAUGUCUUUGCAGUUUGCUCAACCGGAGGGGGAUGACAAGACUCUGUGUGUUGAUGAGUGGCCGUUUCUUCAAACAGAGUUUUGUGAGGUAAGGGAAUGGGGGAAAAAGAGAGCAUCUUGUAAUAAUUUAAUAUUUGGGUUUUGUUGUUAAAUUUGUAUGUAGCGCCACAAAAUACAGGCGUGCACAACACUAUGUUUGUUACUGUUUUAAAUAAACUACAUUAGCAGUAAGUUCUUUGAACUGCCCACUUUUCAAUUUUCAUACAAUUGUAUCUCUCCUGAUAAUUUUGCUCCCUUACCUCAUUGUAGAAGGUGAACCAGCCAACUGCUCGGGUUGUCUCUGGACAGAGAAAAC
rnacentral:lncRNA from 1 species